UAUAAGAUGCCUGAAAAAGGAUAAUUUUGAUAGAAUUAAUAAUGUAAUUAUUUACUCUUAUAA
rnacentral:tRNA from 1 species